AUCACCUUUAGAAAGCCCCACCACUUAUGGAAAAGGUGCCUCUAUUUCUGCAACCUCUCCAACAAUUAUCUGAAACCAUUGCUCCCAUAUGGGUCAAUCGUACUGGAGUCAUGCACCACCUAACAAGCAUCUUGUAUCCGUGUUCCUUCCCCAUCCCCAUCCCCAUCCAAAGACUUGCCUAUGUCCAUCUCCUAAAAGGACACUUAAGGCAACGGAGUCC